CCUGAAAGAUUAUAGGAGGUCCAGCCUGCCCAGUGAUAAAAUUAAACGGCCGCGGUACCCUAACCGUGCGAAGGUAGCGCAAUCACUUGUUCUUUAAAUGAGGACUAGUAUGAACGGCAUCACGAGGAUUAUACUGUCUCCCUUCUUUAAUCAGUGAAACUGAUUCCCCCGUGAAGAAGCGGGAAUAAAUAUAUAAGACGAGAAGACCCUAUGGAGCUUUAAACUUAACACCACUUAUCUAAAACACUUCAUAAUAAACAGAUAAGCUUGUGCGCGUUUUAGGUUGGGGUGACCGCGGAGUAAAAUUUAACCUCCACGUUGAAAGGCCUUUAUCCUUAUCCAAGAGCCACAUCUCCAAGAAUCAACAAAUUGACAUUUAUUGACCCAAAUUUUUUUGAUCAACGAAC
rnacentral:rRNA from 1 species